GCCUAACACAUGCAAGUUCGAGCGCCCCGCAAGGGGAGCGGCAGACGGGUGAGUAACGCGUGGGAAUCUACCCUUUUCUACGGAAUAACGCAGGGAAACUUGUGCUAAUACCGUAUGAGCCCUUCGGGGGAAAGAUUUAUCGGGAAAGGAUGAGCCCGCGUUGGAUUAGCUAGUUGGUGGGGUAAAGGCCUACCAAGGCGACGAUCCAUAGCUGGUCUGAGAGGAUGAUCAGCCACAUUGGGACUGAGACACGGCCCAAACUCCUACGGGAGGCAGCAGUGGGGAAUAUUGGACAAUGGGCGCAAGCCUGAUCCAGCCAUGCCGCGUGAGUGAUGAAGGCCCUAGGGUUGUAAAGCUCUUUCACCGGUGAAGAUAAUGACGGUAACCGGAGAAGAAGCCCCGGCUAACUUCGUGCCAGCAGCCGCGGUAAUACGAAGGGGGCUAGCGUUGUUCGGAAUUACUGGGCGUAAAGCGCACGUAGGCGGACAUUUAAGUUAGGGGUGAAAUCCCAGAGCUCAACUCUGGAACUGCCUUUGAUACUGGGUGUCUAGAGUAUGGAAGAGGUGAGUGGAAUUCCGAGUGUAGAGGUGAAAUUCGUAGAUAUUCGGAGGAACACCAGUGGCGAAGGCGGCUCACUGGUCCAUUACUGACGCUGAGGUGCGAAAGCGUGGGG
rnacentral:rRNA from 1 species